AAAUUAAAAAAUUAUUAUUUUAAUUUAGUAAUAGAAAGAUUAAAAAAAAUAAUUUUUUUUUAAGUAAUUUAUAUGAAUAAAUUUUAUUAAUUAUAGUGUAUUAAGUAUUGUGAAAGAUUUUAUUUAAUUUAUGAUAAGAAUAAUUUAUUUUUAGUACCUUGUGUAUCAGGGUUUAUUAAUUAAAAUUUAAUUAAUUAAAUUUCUCGAAUUUAAAAGAGUUAUAUUUAUAUUACUUUUAUUGUUGAAUAAAUAUUGUAAAUAUAAAUAUAGAAGUGAAACGCUAUACGAUUUUAAAUAUAUCUAGUUUUUAAAGAAAAAAAUUUAAUUUUAUUUUUAAUUAAUAUUUAAUUUUAAUUAUUAAAUUAAUAUUAUUAAAAUGCUAUAUUUUAGGGGAUGAGCUUUAAAAUAAAUUUAUAUAAAUUAUAUUAAUAAUAUUUAAUAAGUAGGAUUAUAAGUUUUUAUCUUUAGUAGUGUUUUAUCACUAUUUAAAUAUAAGUAUAUUAUUUUUAUUUUAUUUUAUAUAAUUUAUUUAAAAAUAGAAUUUAAUUUAAAAAUUUUAGUUAUAAUGAUGAAAUUAGUAUAAUUUAUUUGUUGUUAAUUUAUAUAGCUAAAAGGUUUUAUAAAGGAACUCGGCAAAUAUAUUUUUCACCUGUUUAUCAAAAACAUGUCCUUUUGAAUAUAAUUUAAGGUCAAGCCUGCCCACUGAUAUUUUAAAUGGCCGCAGUAUCCUGACUGUGCAAAGGUAGCAUAAUCAUUAGUUUUUUAAUUGUAAGCUGGUAUGAAAGGUUGGAUGAGAAAAUAGCUGUCUCUAUAAUAAUUAUUUAGAAUUUUAUUUUUAAGUAAAAAAGCUUAAAUUUAAAUAAAAGACGAGAAGACCCUAUAGAGUUUUAUAUUAAUAAUAAAAUGAGUAUGAUUCGGUAUAUUUAGUAUUUGUUUUAUUAAAAAUAUUUGGUUGGGGUGAUGGAAAAAUUUAUUAAACUUUUUUUUGUAUUUAAACAUUUAUUUAUGAAAAAUUGAUCCUUUAUUUAAGAUUAUAAGAAUAAAUUACCUUAGGGAUAACAGCGUAAUUUUUUUUGAGAGUUCUUAUCGAAAAAAAAGAUUGCGACCUCGAUGUUGGAUUAAAUUAAAUUUUUGGUGUAGGAGCUAAAACAAUUAGGUCUGUUCGACCUUUAAAAUUUUACAUGAUCUGAGUUCAAACCGGUGUAAGCC
rnacentral:rRNA from 1 species